CCUAAAACAAGCUGAUAGCCUCUGUCUCAUUAGAGACAUGCAAGUUCAAGGCAAAAUGAUAACAAAAAUAUGAAGAUAAGGCAUAAUUCAAGGAAAAGGAUGAGCGUAUGAACUUGGACUCAUUGCUGGAGGAAGCAGAAAGAACCACUGCAGCCAUUCAGCCCAGUCCCUUCACAAUCCCAGAUACUUAUCAUAGAAACUGGAUUAAAUCACCUAAGGAUAAGUUCCUCAGGUGAAAAUGAAGCAGACAAAAAUCAUUUUCAUUAUUUUUUUCUCCAGUCUGCACUCACUGUCAGAGGCAGAGAUGUGUUAUGUGGAGGUAUGGGACUCAGGGGACAAAAGGACUGAGCACAGCCCUUCUGAAAAGGACUUGGAGGUAAAUAUACAGAUUGCCAGCUGUAAAAGCACAUAUUGAGUACACCUGAAAGCAAUUUGCCCAGAUAAAGCUUUUGGGAUCUCACUUUUGGCUUUCUACAAGAGGGGAUUUAAUGCCUAGAGCCUGAUUCUGAACAUGGGAACACUGUGUAUGAUCAGUACAAUUCAGGAAGAGUUUGAACUAGAAAAGGCAUAGAGUUCCUGCCUUCAACCCUCCUGGAGAUCUCUAAGCUGCUGGGAUGCCAGGAAAAGCCACAAUAUGAGGUGUACCACCAUCUGGGAUGUUGUCAUGUACUUACUCUACAACCAUAAUCCACUAGGAUCUUCAGUUCAGCAGAUCAAAGCCAGGAAGAUUGUUGGGCCAUCUUUCUCCUGGAUAACACUAAAGAGAUAAUUAACAUGGCAUGCAUUUUAUAUCUGAG
ensembl:lncRNA